AGAAUCCAGGCGGGUGAACACUCGGGCCCCCUGGUGGUCAGGAGAGGAAUCUGCAUGUGCGGUGGCAGCGUCCAGAACCACUAAUUCUGCUGCCAACAUCUGACAAAACGCUGACCUGCAGGUGAAGAGGAACCAGAAUGAAAUGAUCAGCUUUUCAGUUCGACUUGGUCCCAGAUGGACCGCAGAGCUUGAACACUGACACCUGAACUCUUCUUGGCAUUGACCACAUCAUACAGAUCAUCAGCAUCGUCCUGAAGAGUAACAGCAGAG